GGGUCUAAGACGCGACAGAGUUGAAUUUGUGAGGUUGAMACAAGAGGUACGUAAAGCAUGAAGGUUCACACACGGAUAGUUGCUGCAGUUUUCAUGUUCAUGUUACUGGUACACCAAGGACAACAAGCUAAUCAAGUCGUACGGCAUAUGGGGAAACGCAACACUCGCAAGCCUUCCUUCGGUGAUAGCGAGUCGAAAAGAAUGAAGUCUAGGAUGUUCAGGCCAAGAUCAAUGGACUACAUUUGUGAAGUAGCUACAGCGAUUGGAUGUCCAGCUCCAUGGACAAGUAAACGAUAUUACCGAUAAAUAUUUCUAUAAGGCACUUGUUGUUAAAGAAACAGACUUUGAGGAGUUAACAUGUAUUAAAUAUUGUAUCUGUAAAUAGCUAUUACUAUCRAAUAAUGUUAUCAUUAUUAAAGAUAGCGACUAGCAUGGUG